rnacentral:rRNA from 1 species
CGGCGGACGGGUGAGUAACACGUGGAUAACCUACCUAUAAGACUGGGAUAACUUCGGGAAACCGGAGCUAAUACCGGAUAAUAUAUUGAACCGCAUGGUUCAAUAGUGAAAGACGGUUUUGCUGUCACUUAUAGAUGGAUCCGCGCCGCAUUAGCUAGUUGGUAAGGUAACGGGCUUACCAAGGCAACGAUGCGUAGCCGACCUGAGAGGGUGAUCGGCCACACUGGAACUGAGACACGGUCCAGACUCCUACGGGAGGCAGCAGGC